rnacentral:rRNA from 1 species
UACGGGGGGGGCAAGCGUUGUUCGGAAUUACUGGGCGUAAAGGGCUCGUAGGCGGCCAACUAAGUCAUACGUGAAAUCCCUCGGCUUAACCGGGGAACUGCGUCUGAUACUGGAUGGCUUGAGAUUGGGAGAGGGAUGCGGAAUUCCAGGUGUAGCGGUGAAAUGCGUAGAUAUCAAGAGGAACGCCGGUGGCGAAAGCGGCUCUCUGGACCGAUCCUGGCACUGAGGCGCGAAAGCUAGGGGAGCAAACAGG